GGCAGUUGGUGUGUGUCCUGGGACAUGAAGAGGAAGAAUUGCAUCUGGGGUUGUGGAGGGGUCGUCUGGCUCCAGUUCAGAUGCAAGGAUCAAGGUUGUUGGCAAACCAAACCAGGUGAUCCCCCUGCUCCCUUGCAUCCCAUUCCAGUGACAGGUAGCUGCAUCUGGCUGAGUGGGGCUCCAGCUUAGAUGAGGCUUUUGCUGCAGGUGGGC